rnacentral:lncRNA from 1 species
AUAGAUAUAUAGGAGAAACUCAAAAUCAGAUUAAAUCUGAUUUUUUGUCCACUUUUCUCUUCUUAAGAGAAAAAUCAAAAUCUAAAGAAGAAGAUAAGAGAUCAAAUCUCUUGUUCAUCCUUUUUGUCCAAUCCUUGGAUUAGAUCUGAAGAGAAGAAGAGGAAAACCGUCCAUCUCAUGGAUCUAGAAAAUUAAAACAGAUCAAAUCUGAUUUAAUCAUGUCCAACUUUUGGACAUUUUUGUAGG